UGCGUAGGCGGGAUUAUAAGUCAGUGGUGAAAUCUUGUGGCUUAACCAUAAAAUUGCCAUUGAUACUGUAGUCCUUGAGUCCGUUCGAGGUGGUUGGAAUGCGUAGUGUAGCGGUGAAAUGCAUAGAUAUUACGCAGAACACCUAUUGCGAAGGCAGAUCACUAGGACGGAACUGACGCUGAUGCACGAAAGCGUGGGGAGCGAACAGGAUUAGAUACCCUGGUAGUCC
rnacentral:rRNA from 1 species